CUUAGAGUUUGAUCCUGGCUCAGGAUGAACGCUUGUGGUAUGCUUAACACAUGCAAGUCGAACGGUGUCUUCGGACAUAGUGGCGGACGGGUGAGUAACGCGUGAGAAUCUAGCUUCAGGUCUGGGACAACCACUGGAAACGGUGGCUAAUACCGGAUGUGCCGGAAGGUGAAAGGCUUGCUGCCUGAAGAUGAGCUCGCGUCCGAUUAGCUAGUAGGUGGGGAAAGAGCCUACCUAGGCGACGAUCGGUAGCUGGUCUGAAAGGAUGACCUACCACACUGGGACUGAGACACGGCCCAGACUCCUACGGGAGGCAGCAGUGGGGAAUUUUCCGCAAUGGGCGAAAGCCUGACGGAGCAAUACCGCGUGAGGGAGGAAGGCUCUUGGGUUGUAAACCUCUUUUCUCAGGGAAGAACACAAUGACGGUACCUGAGGAAUCAGCAUCGGCUAACUCCGUGCCAGCAGCCGCGGUAAUACGGAGGAUGCAAGCGUUAUCCGGAAUGAUUGGGCGUAAAGCGUCCGCAGGUGGCUGUGUAAGUCUGCUGUCAAAGAGCAAGGCUCAACUUUGUAAAGGCAGUGGAAACUACACGGCUAGAGUGCGUUCGGGGCAGAGGGAAUUCCUGGUGUAGCGGUGAAAUGCGUAGAGAUCAGGAAGAACACCGGUGGCGAAGGCGCUCUGCUAGGCCGCAACUGACACUGAGGGACGAAAGCUAGGGGAGCGAAUAGGAUUAGAUACCCCAGUAGUCCUAGCUGUAAACGAU
rnacentral:rRNA from 1 species